GACGAACCGUGCGAACGUUAUUCGGAAUUAUUGGGCUUAAAGCGCGCGUAGGCGGCGGCGUAAGUGGGGGGUGAAAUCCUAUCGGCUCAACCGUGGGUUUGCCUUUCAAACUGCGUUGCUUGAGGAAGACAGGGGCACGUGGAACUUCCAGUGGAGCGGUGAAAUGUGUUGAGAUUGGAAGGAACGCCAGUGGCGAAAGCGACGUGCUGGAUCUUAUCUGACGCUGAGGCGCGAAAGCUAGGGGAGCAAACGGG
rnacentral:rRNA from 1 species